CUCCGGCCCCGGGACCCCCGGGACCCUGCACCCCCCCCCCACCGCGAGCCCAGUACUGGACUCCUGAGGGCAGCCUCUCCCGAGCGUCCACUUUCUGGGGCGCCCUUCUCGGCCGGCGGGGACUCCUGGGCUCCCCCGCCCGCUGUCCCGCGCUCUACGUGGCUGCUGGGGGGGCGGGAGGGGUGCGCUAUAAAGGGCCGAGGCGGCGCGGGCCCAGACCCGAGACGUGGCGCGUCUGCCCAGCCAGCCAGGCUCCAGAGCCUGCUUCUUGGCCCCACGGCUCAGCAGCUUUCCUGAUGGAGCAGCAGAGAGGGCACCUAGAAGAGAGGAGAUGCCACUGUGGACUGCAGGUGGCCUUCCAGGAGGCCUUGACAUGACACGUCUACAGCCAAGCAAGCUGCAUGCCAAGUACACAGCUGUAUGCAAGGAACGGAAUACAGAGCAACAGAGGGGCAAUCUGGGCCCUCCGCAGAGCCGAGGUCUACUGGUGAAGCAUCAUUGACAGCUCCUGCACAGCCUGGUAGAGCCCAGCCGGGAAAUGAUUUCCUCAGUCACCAGAAGAUGGGACGGAAAAGUCACGGUGUAUCCUGGGAAGAGACCCAUUACACACUCUUGCAGCAUGAGCUGACCUGGAGGACACAGGCACAAAGCUGACAAUGCUGUGGAUGGACUGGAAGACAGACAGGGGCUAGGAAUCACUGCAGCAUGAGCCCAGUGGGUCAGGGCAUCUGUGACUCUGAGCUGCAGGGUGUGAGGGUUAGUGGUGCUGAUGUGCCUCAGAGGAAUCUUCAGCCAGGGAGCUGUGUGAAAAAGAUGUGUGACGGACAGCACAGUCAGUGUGCAGUUGUGAACAUGUGGUUCAGAGCAGAGACGUUGGUGAAGUGAAUCAUAAACUAAGGACCAGAAGAACCCAGAAGCACCCGACUUCCAGCUCCAUACUUGUCCUGCUGAACCAAACUGCUCAUGCAAGUUUCAACAAGGUAAACUUUAACAACCAGACAAUGGGAGUUAGUGUUUCUCUCCAGGCCCUCCUCCGGGCAGACGGUGAUAACCCUUAGCCUGCAUGACGAAUCAGAAAUAUCUGGGGAGUUUUCUUCAGCAAACACAAGCCAAGGCUGACGUGAUUAUACCUGGUGAAUCAGAGAAAAGCCCUCGAGCUGGGUCUGAUACACAAGGUUGUUAGGAACCGCCAGCCUCACAUUGCUCUCAGUGCCAAAUCUCACCUAUCCUUCAACGAUGAAUUUUCUUGUUAAGCCCAAGAGACAUCUUUCAGUUCUGAAUCUUAUGUAAAUACAAAGAAUUAAAAAAAAAAACUGCAUCUCACGAAGUCACAAAGUUGCCCAGGUUGCACAGCAACUUAUAUCUUCCUGCCUCAGCUUCCCAGAUUACUGGGGUUACAGACAUGGAGCACCAU
rnacentral:lncRNA from 1 species